ensembl:lncRNA
ACAAGUGCUACAGCAAUGAAGAUGGUCAAAGAAAUACUGGAGAUGGCAUGAGUAAUGCUUCCAACAGCGAAGAUGAAAUAAAUAAAGUGGGCAAUGAGGACUUUGAGGACAUUCAAGAGAAUGACAAUGAGGAUGACCGAAUAAACACAGAAGAUGACAUGAGUAAUGCAUCCAACAGUGAAGACGAAGAUGAUGAAGUGGACAAUGAAAACCCCUCCACAACUAGCCUGUUGGGCACUGACAUUGAAGAGAAUGAGGAAGACCUGUCAGAUUCCGAAGGGAACAUAUUUGAUGCCGCCAGGAGUGAAGAUGAAAACGAUGUGGACAGUAAAGUCUUAAUGGAGGGCAACACCAGUGGAGAAAACACAUUUGCAUUUUCAAUGGGCAGUGCAGAUAGAGCAGAUACUGGUGACAAUCCAUUGUAUCCUGGUGCACCUCUUUCAAAAGGAGAAAGUGUAUUAAUGCUGAUGUCCUAUCUGUUACGGCAUAAUUUAACCGGAAAAGCACUUAAUCAUUUACUGGAAAUGUUUAACAUAAUGUUUCCAGGUCUGAUCCCAUCUUCACAUUACCUUUUCCACAAAGAAUUUGGAAGUUCAUCUAAAUUUGAAGUUCACUUUUAUUGUGAAAGCUGUUUAAAAUACCUUGGUAUUAGAGCAGACUGUCCCUCUCAAUGUGACUCUUGCAACACAGUUUUUGACGCCAGUGCAAACCUUAAGAAUGGCUUCUAUUUUCUUGUGUUGCCCCUGUAUGCACAGAUUAAGCAACUACUUCAAGAACAUGGUAUCAGUCUUAAUGAAAAAACUAGAACCUUAGGGAUUUUCUCUGACAUACAGUCUGGGGAAGAGUAUCAAAAGUUAUGUGACAGUGGAGUUCUUGAAAAACUUGACACUAAUUUGGAAUUGUGAUGGCGCACCAGUGUUCAAAAGUUCUAAAUGCAGCAUUUGGCCAAUUCAGUGUCAGGUAAUUGAACUGAAACCAGAAGUGAGGAAAAAGCACAUUUUGAUGUCAGCGUUAUGGUUUGGGCCAAGUAAACCAUCCAUGUUUACAUUACUAACACCAUUUGUUAAAGAAGCCUCAUUAUUAGAGACUGAAGGUAUUGACUGGCAAGACAUACAGGGAAACUGUCAUGUUUCUAAAGUGUUUGUGCUGGUUUGUAGCUCUGAUUCAAUGGCUUGUCCAUUGCUUCGUAACACAAAG